UGUUCUUUAACUGGUUCAUUAGCAGUAAUGAAGCUUAUGUCUCUAAUGUACACCUGGGUCAGCAAAUUCCUUGUCCAGGCUUAGACAAGCUAGAGAAGUAGCACCUUCUCCAGAUGGACAUUAAUUAUUAAACCACAUUUAUCAAGGGAGAGCAGCAAGGUAACUCACUCCCUAGGCAACUGCCAGUGCCUUGAAAACAUUUCCAUAACGUCCAUGCACAUCUAGGAGAGUUGGGUUUGUUCAGUUGUCGAAAGCAGGCUGCUCACAGGAAACACCAAAGGCCAGCACAGCCCAGAGAGCAAGGUGUGCUGCUGUGAUCCCUGCCCUCCACUGAGACCCAGCCACUCCAAGAAACACAACAGCCAGGUGCAGGCAGUCACACAUGACUGCUAAGCUCCCUGGAUUUGCUUACUCCAUAUUUGCAAAACCUGUGCAGUCACACAUUCAUUCACCUUCUCUAAAUGAGUCCCACUUCCUUCUGCCUUUUGAUUAAAAAAAAAAAUUUAGAAGUUCUGUUUCAAUUAGAAGUGAGUAAAUUUCUCAGAUAUUUGAAGGAAAUUUAUCUCUGAGCCAUGGGACAUUGUUUACACAGCUCUCUCAAAAUAAGCUAAGACAGAAGUCCUUGCUAUGGUGAUGGGCUAAAACAGAACUGCAUCUUGGAUUCACACCUUUCAAAAGAGGGAUGCCUUGACAAGGUAACCCACCCAUCUUGCCACAAUUUGAGACUCAGCUGGGCAUAGGAUGCAUACAACAUUAGAAAUCUUUCAUUCUACCCUCCAGAUGCUGUAGAAAAUCACAUCACAGACUCUCACUUUUUCUUCUCUACCUGAAUUUGUUAAUGACUCCUGGUGGCUCUGCUAAUGUUGACCUUCAGCUUAUGUAGUAUUUUACCACUCUGGUCUCCAUACUUUAUUGCUCUGACAGAUUUCUUCAGCAGAAAUCAUCUUGUCUUAGCCUUUAUUUACCCAGUCUAAGCCAAACAAAUCUUUUAAGUGUUCCUUGAUAUGAUAAGGCAUCCAUUUGGCAGAUAAUCUCAAUCACUUUUCUGUACACCUCAUUCUCUGAAUAAACCAGCUGUAAAAACUGACAGCCUGUCAUGCAAAUUGCUGACCAUGGCUGUCAUGAGGGCCAGCCAUGAAGAAUUAUCUCCUUUACUCUGUAGUAAGUACCUGCAUGUUCCUGACUGUAAAACCCACAUACCACUCUCCCAGUGCUCAUUUACAUGGCACUUAUAUCCCCAUCCCUUUUUGUAAGAUCAACUGCUCCUUUUUUCUUUUUUCCCUACUUAUUAUCCUUUUUUCCUGUCCUCAUUUAUUUUCUGAAUAUUAUGUAAGCUACAGAUUUUAGAUAAAUGAGCAACUGAGCAAUAGACUUACAAAUAUGUAUUUACAAAGGUUUUCAUGUCCUCAAGGAACAAAAGAGGCUGCUCCAUUCUCAAGCAAAAGAAGGCCUACACAAAGUAUAAAGACAGUUGUUUAUCACACCCCCGCUGUUGGCUUUCUUGGUCAAAAGGUUAUUUCUAAAUCACUCACUGAUCUGUACAAUGGUUUUGAUUAAACAUCUGUCUUGUCUCAUUCUGCUUCCUUAUUUGUGAAAUUGAGUUAAAAAUAGAAUAAUAAACAGAUUGGUUGAAAUGCAUCGAUAAAAUUGAGACACUUUUUAAAUCUCUCAGAGUGGUCAGAUUUUGCUAGGAUAGAGUAUAUGUCUUGUACUUUACACCACUGCACAAAUUCAUUUCUACCAUUUCAAAGGAGCAGUACAAACACACUAAUUUUGUUCACUUUCAGAAUCACUACACUUUAUGAGCUAAAAUAUUCAUUGUAAUAUCUUGCUAUGAUUCCAGAUUUGCAACCUAAAAUAUGUUCAACUCAUGACAACAAAAACCCAAUUUCACCAUUCAUGCUGGUGGUAUUUAUCACUGGAGUCUGAGUCACAUAAGUCAGCAGGCAAGUUUUUUUUAGUACAGUCUUAAGAUUUUGGGAUUUAUAUCUCUAAAAUUCUUCUCUCUUCAUUGAAAAGUUCUCUGAACAUACUAGCAGAGAGAAAAAGAACACUAUGUGAGAACCGAAUCCCCAUCUCCCUUGUUUUGAACAGUUUAUGGAAACAAACUAGAUAAAAUAUCAGGAAAAUUGUAUUUAAAAGGGGGUAAAAAACCCCAAAUCCACUCCCCCCCCCAACAAAAAAACAUCUCGUAUAGCUCUCAUAUAACAUGUACUAAAGAAACCCAUGCAGUUUCUUCCCAGAGGCUUACUCUAAAUCUAAAUUUAACCUUUCCACCUUCAUUAGCAAUAAUGAAGCAGCUUGAUUUCUCAGUGUCAUUAAUAAGCAUGAGUUCAAAUCUCAUUUCUAAGCCAGACAUAUCAGGAGAUUACUGCUGGCUGUUUAACAAGCUGUACUUCAUCCACUUACAAAUGUUGAAUCAAAUUGCUUUUAAAAAUGCCUUCCAUGGAACACAGAAAAUAAUAUAUCAAAAAGGAAGCCUCAAUCACACGCUCCUCCUUUUCCAAAGCACAAAAGAUGUCAUUUAAAGUCUAAAGUUAGCCUGACUUCCUUGUGAGAGCAGGUCACUGUUUUCCCUCUUGGAGUAAUAGCCCACUCACAUUUUGUUGCUGCCAAACCCUCGGGAUUUACCUUGUUUUGUGGACUUGUAAGGAGGUCUCAUCUCAGCUGCCCCUGCAGGACCACCUACCUUUAGCCAUUCCAGUUUGGGAUGUAUUCCAACACUUUAUCCCCUGGAAUUUACAACCUAUGAUAGUUCUUCAGGCACAGACCAUCUCUGUCAGUACUAAUUCUGGCCCUGAGACAGCAUAGAUGUUAAGCCUUGGAAAACUGUGCCUUCCAGGGGGAAUAUUCCUUCUCCACUCCCACCCACUCCCUGUGCAGUGCAUGAUUAUUCAAUAUUAUUCCAUCAGAAAGAAAUACAGGAGAACAUCACACAUCCUCAGGAAAACCCACACCAAGUGCAAUUACACAAAACAUUACCUUGUGAAAUUUAAAGAAGAUAUGGCAUAGUCUCUGACAAUUUCUCAGAUUAUAAGUGUUGAGUUCCUAGAAAUAAAAAACAUGUAAAGAGGAGAACAUGAAGUUAGUGGUCACAGUUUUGUGAAUAGUCUACAUUCAUUCACUCUUCUAGAACCCCUUGAAGUAUUAGAAAGACUAAAAAUGAACAUGAAGAUCCUAUUCAUACAAGUCUUUGUAAUAUUGUAUUUUUAUUUAAAGUACUAUUCACAGGCUAUUUUCCCCACUGUCCAAUCAAUAAAGGGGUUACCAUGUGUUGCAAUAUUUUAAUAAAUCACUUUUCUUUAGGUUACUUCCUAGAAUGGCUCUGAGGUCGCACCAGUGGGUCAAAGCACAUUCUAAAGGGCUCUUUUUGACUAUUCGUUACUGCUGGAAUUACUCCAUUUCAUUGUAACCUCAAUUGUACAUGAUUGCACUUUAUAGCAAGAACACAAAUCUUACUUUUGUCAGCUCUCAGCCCCCCAGGCACAAAGCAGAUAUCAGAGGUGUGGCAGACUUUCAUAUUUUCUUUUACAAUUAAAACACUCAAUAUGAACCCAAGGGUCCCACAACCACAGGACACUAAACCAACACAGUAUUCCACAUAUGAAACAAGGAAUUGGGGUCUUAUAAAUGGAAGGAAUGAAACAGGGUGUUGGAGCAGCGUGGGACAUGGAUUAAAACUGUUAGCAAAACAAACUGUAAAAAUUUCUGGCAAACAUUCAAACAGUAACAGCUGUAAAGGCACCAACACAGACAGCGAGAGCUGUUGGCAGACACACAACAGGCAGUAACAGUUGUUAGCACACACACAGAAAAGAAGCACCAAUUUUUUACAAAGUACACAAAACAACAUGUACAACAAUCAAACUCUAAAUUCCAAGACCAAAACCAAUAGUAAAACUCAUCAGACUUUUUUCGGGGAUUCUAACCGCUUUGCAUUUCUUUCGGGGAUUACAGCCUUUUUUUUCAGGGACUUUAACCCUUCUGUAUCUCUUUAGGGGAAUCCUAUGCCACUGUAACAUUAUCACAUACACACCCGAACUAAUUUACAUUGUAUGCUCUCAUGGUUAUUAGACAGUUCUUUUACACUGCACUUGCACCUCCCCAGUUCAGGAGUCUUUGAUGAAAGGCUUCCAGGGUCAUCUUCUCAUCUGAAUUUUUCAACUUUGCCCUUGGAGCAUGUGCAGUUACAGUGUUCUUUGGUCUGUUCUUGGUCUUAACCAGCCUAAAUUCUUUGAUUUGUGGCUAAUUGGAUCUGCACUUAUCGAUUUUUCAUUAGCACUAUACUUCUCUAUCUCUAAAGCUAUCCACUUGGCAAGGUUUUUUUUCUUUUUUUGUCUAUUCAGCAUUAAGCAAGUAGUGAACCAUAUAUUGGCCAUUGCAUUGUAUAAAAAGUUGUGAUUUCAGGUUAUAUAGGUACAAAGAGCUGAAUCAGGUUAUAUAGGUAUCAGGUUAUAUUGAUAUAUAAAAAGACAUUAUUUAGGUUAUAUUGAUAUCAGGUUACAUAGAUAUAUUGGGUUAUAUUGAUAUAUAAAAAGUCAUUAUUUAGGUUAUACUGGUAUCUUAUAAUUCAAGCUAUAUAAGUAGCUUGUAACUUUGAUCUAAGUUAUAUAGGCAUCACUUAAUCCCUAAAUUUUCGAGGAAAACCAAAGUGAAAGCCAUUCAGUGGGCCAGGAUCCUCCCUCCAGGAACACCCAAGGAGCAGCCAAGGGUGUUUGGGUGCCUCUUUGGGGACAGGGGAUAACUGCAGUAGCUGAGGGGAUGACCCAGAAUUCAAGAGUAAGAACAAACAAAAACUAAGGCCACCCCACACCUCACUAAUGCUGCUGUUUUGGGGUGCUGAGGACACUGGGGCUGUUUUUCAUACCCUUUUCCCCACAUUUUCUGCACUUGCUGGUUGUCACCUUCUCAGCCCCAGCAGCUGCGGGGGCAAUAAAAGGGGUCAGGUUGGAAAGCACCAUAGGGGGCAUCUGGUUCUUCCUCCGUGCUCAGGCAGGGUCACCCCAGAGCACCGGGAGCAGCAGCGGGAGCAGCAGCGGAGUACCGGGACAGUGCCACCACAGCCGCGCCC
ensembl:lncRNA